rnacentral:rRNA from 1 species
UACGGAAGGCAGCAGUGGGGAAUAUUGCACAAUGGGCGAAAGCCUGAUGCAGCUAUGCCGCGUGUAUGAAGAAGGCCUUAGGGUUGUAAAGUACUUUCAUCGGGGAGGAAAAAACAAAACUAAUAAUUUUAUUUCUUGACGUUACCCGAAAAAGAAGCACCGGCUAACUCCGUGCCAGCAGCCGCGGUAAUACGGAGGGUGCUAGCGUUAAUCAGAAUUACUGGGCGUAAAGAGCACGUAGGUGGUUUUUUUAAAGUCAGAUGUGAAAUCCCUGGGCUUAACCUAGGAACUGCAUUUUGAAACUGAAAUACUAGAGUAUCGUAGAGGGAGGUAGAAUUCUAGGUGUAGCGGUGAAAUGCGUAGAUAUCUGGAGGAAUACCUGUGGCGAAAGCGGCCUCCUAAACGAAUACUGACGCUGAGGGUGCGAAAGCGUGGGGAGCAAACAGGGAUUAGAUACC